UCGGAUGUGGUGUAAAGGCAACAUGGUGGCUAAAAUUAGGGACUAUCAACGCAGUUAAAAGCCACUGAUCCAAGUUCGAUUCCUGGCAUCCGAA